AGAAAAACAGGCACAGGAAGAUUAAGGGUUAUAUCAUAUAUGUCAAGUAUGCAGGUGUUCGAUAUCAGGUAUAUCAAUCAACUUAAUAUUUUUCAGAGAUCUUAUCUUGGUGUAGUUGAAAAUUGUUUGUUACACUGUCAAGAAUCAAGCAGACCCCUCUGCAGGACAAUGGGAGCCUGUGAGACCAUGCAUUUGCCCGGUGUAAGUUUAGUUGAAACCUUUAGAUACUAUUCAGAUCAAACUGCUAUACUUUUAUGUAGUUUUAGCAUUUUAUGCUGCUUGUCUAUGGAGCUAGAAGAUGUGAUUGAAACAUUAACUUAAACGGAAAAAAACAAAAUGGUGCUAUCAUGGUUCAUGUUU
rnacentral:misc_RNA from 1 species